AAGCGAUGAGCAAGAAAAUCAUCUCAUCUGAGUUGUGCUGGAGAAGAGAGCUGAGGCUAUCAUGGAUGGGCAAAAAGAUGAACAAAUAGGUCCUUGAACAGACCAAGCCUGAAGUCUCCCUAGAAGCCAAGUCAGCCAACAAAGCUGUUCAGCAUUGUCAGUCUUCAAAAACCUGCUGAGGUAAAAGGAAGCAGCAGAACCUGCCAACAAGAAGAUAAAGAAGGGAGAAGGGAAGUCUACUCGAGUCGUGAGGAGAAGUGGGU